rnacentral:rRNA from 1 species
UACGAAGGGGGCUAGCGUUGUUCGGAAUUACUGGGCGUAAAGCGCACGUAGGCGGACAUUUAAGUCAGGGGUGAAAUCCCAGAGCUCAACUCUGGAACUGCCUUUUGAUACUGGGUGUCUAGAGUAUGGAAGAGGUGAGUGGAAUUCCGAGUGUAGAGGUGAAAUUCGUAGAUAUUCGGAGGAACACCAGUGGCGAAGGCGGCUCACUGGUCCAUUACUGACGCUGAGGUGCGAAAGCGUGGGGAGCAAACAGG